GAUGAACGCUGGCGGCGUGCCUAAUACAUGCAAGUCGAGCGAACGGACGAGAAGCUUGCUUCUCUGAUGUUAGCGGCGGACGGGUGAGUAACACGUGGAUAACCUACCUAUAAGACUGGGAUAACUUCGGGAAACCGGAGCUAAUACCGGAUAAUAUUUUGAACCGCAUGGUUCAAAAGUGAAAGACGGUCUUGCUGUCACUUAUAGAUGGAUCCGCGCUGCAUUAGCUAGUUGGUAAGGUAACGGCUUACCAAGGCAACGAUGCAUAGCCGACCUGAGAGGGUGAUAGGCCACACGGGAAGUGAGACAGGGUCAAGAGUCCUAAGGGAGGCAGCAGUAGGGAAUCGGCAGCAAUGGGCGAAAGCAUGACGGAGCAAAGGCGCGUGAGUGAUGAAGGUCUUCGGAUCGGAAAACUCUGUUAUGAGGGAAGAACAUAUGUGUAAGUAACUGUGCAAAUAGUGACGGUACCUAAUCAGAAAGCCACGGCUAACUACGUG
rnacentral:rRNA from 1 species